GACGAACGCUGGCGGCGCGCCUAACACAUGCAAGUCGAACGAGCGAGAGAGAGCUUGCUUUCUCGAGCGAGUGGCGAACGGGUGAGUAACGCGUGAGGAACCUGCCUCAAAGAGGGGGACAACAUUUGGAAACGACUGCUAAUACCGCAUAAGCCCACGGCUCGGCAUCGAGCAGGGGGAAAAGGAGCAAUCCGCUUUGAGAUGGCCUCGCUUCCGAUUAUCUAGUUGGUGAGGUAACGGCCCACCAAGGCGACGAUCGGUAGCCGGACUGAGAAGUUGAACGGCCACAUUGGGACUGAGCCACGGCCCAGACUCCUACGGGAGGCAGCAGUGGGGAAUAUUGCACAAUGGGGGAAACCCUGAUGCAGCGACGCCGCGUGGAGGAAGAAGGUCUUCGGAUUGUAAACUCCUGUUGUUGGGGAAGAUAAUGACGGUACCCAACAAGGAAGUGACGGCUAACUACGUG
rnacentral:rRNA from 1 species